rnacentral:tRNA from 1 species
UCCUCAGUAGCUCAGCUGGUUAGAGCGCCUGGCUGUUAACCGGGAGGUCGGAAGUUCGAAUCAUUUCCUGAGGAG